AAGGUGACCAGGUGAGAGCAAAGCCCAACUUCCUGGGGAAAAGCUCUCAGCGCAGUGAAUGCUACAUUCGGAGGUAGGAAGGCUCUGGAUGUGAGUCUUCAUGUUUGUUUUUUGUUUUUUGUUUUUUUUUCUCUAAAAUUACCAAAAAAGAGGAAUAUCCACAGAAGCAGAAGUAGGAAUGGGGAAGGAGGGGACAAGUUUAGACCAAGCUCUUCUGUGACCUCACUUCUGCUUUUGAAGUCCCACAGCUCUAUAAGGCUACCUUCAUCCCCAAACAGGAACUGCUGCAAGGCCCGCAGCAGCCAUGGGUGAGUGGCUCUGGAGAUGGGGUAAGUGGCCUACGCACCCCAGAGGAACAGCUGGCAGCCUAGUCUUCGGGCAGCAGCUCCACUCAGCCCUGGGGAAUGACAGAUACAGGUGUGUUCCCUCAGACAACCAGUUAUGCCAGUGAAGUGCCCUAAACUAGAGAUAGCUGGGGCGCUGUCAGCCACCUUAACAGUGAGAAGAAGCAACAGGAUGAAGUGGAAACAGCGUCACACAGAUGGAGCCUCGAAUCCCAGCAUGCUAGCCAUGUGUCAUCUUCAUAGUCUUCCUAACGUCUGUGGCCUCAGAUGCCACAUCAGUAAAUGGCACACCAUAUGUGAUUUAGGCUAAGGGCCUGAGUGUAAUAGUUGCUUAGGAAUUAUAGCCCUUCUUAAAUAAAUGGAGAAACAGUCCAUGUUCAUGGAUUGGAAGCCUCAAUGUUAUUAAGAUGGCAAAUCUCCCCAGAGUGACCUGUAGAUGCAACACAAUCCCUAUCAAAAUCCCAGCAGGCUUUUCACUCCUUUUUAAUAAGGACACCGGUCAUAUUGUAUUAAGGUCCAUCCUAAUGACCUCAUCUUAACUCAGCUACAUCUGCAAACACCUUAAUCCAAAUAUGACAUUCUGAGGUACUGGGAUUAGGGCUUCAAAAUAUCUUUUUGGGGGAACACAAGUCAACCCAUAACAGAUAAUUAACACAAAUACAUGGAAAACUAUCCCAUAUUCAUGGAUUGGAAGUACUAAUAGUAUUUAAAUGUCCAUAUUACCCAGAGGUCUAGAGAUUCAAUGCAAUCCCUAUCAAAAUACCCAUAAUGUUCUUCACAGAAGUGGGAGUAAACAAUCUUAAAAUUCAUGUGGAAAUGCAAAAGACCCUGGAUAGCCAAAGCAAUCGAGUAAAAGGAACAAAGCUGGAGGUCUCACCACAACACAUGGUUAAGGAGUUAAAAUGGGACAUUUGAAACUUUAUAUUACUACAGAGUUUAAUGCAAGAUUCAUGCAGAUUUUUAAAAGAUAAACCACGACACGUCACAGGAAUAUCUAGCUUUUGAUAUGUCCCCAUGCCUUCCACAGGUACCCUCCUACAGCUCCCCUCCACUGUCCCCUCCCUAAGGGGGUACAAUUCAGCUCUUUUGCCCUAAAGAGCAUUUGGAUGGAAAGUUUGAGAUGUCCUAACA
rnacentral:lncRNA from 10 species